AUAAAGAUCAACAUCUGUCUAU
rnacentral:miRNA from 1 species